rnacentral:rRNA from 1 species
AAACUAACAAGGAUUCCCCUAGUAGCGGCGAGCGAAGCGGGAAGAGCUCAAAUUUAUAAUCUGGCACCUUCGGUGUCCGAGUUGUAAUCUCUAGAAGUGUUUUCCGCGUUGGACCGCGCAUAAGUCUGUUGGAAUACAGCGGCACAGUGGUGAGACCCCCGUAUGUGGUGCGGACGCCCAGCGCUUUGUGAUACACUUUCGAAGAGUCGAGUUGUUUGGGAAUGCAGCUCAAAUUGGGUGGUAAAUUCCAUCUAAAGCUAAAUAUUGGCGAGAGACCGAUAGCGAACAAGUACCGUGAGGAAAAGAUGAAAAGCACUUUGGAAAGAGAGUUAACAGUACGUGAAAUUGUUGGAAGGGAAACGCUUGAAGUCAGACUUGCUUGCCGGGCAACCGGUUUGCAGGCCAGCAUCAGUUUUCCGGGGUGGAUAAUGGUAGAGAGAAGGUAGCAGUUUCGGCUGUGUUAUAGCUCUCUACUGGAUACACCUUGGGGGACUGAGGAACGCAGUGUGCCUUACGGCGGAGGUUUCGACCUCUUCACACUUAGGAUGCUGGUGGAAUGGCUUUAAACGAC